rnacentral:lncRNA from 1 species
UGGGGGAGGUGGAGUCACCACAAUAUGAGGAACUGUAUUAAAGGGUCCCUUGCAGCAUUAGGAAGGUUAAGAACCAUGAGUCCAAGAGAUCUUCUGGAUUUCCAAGGCUAUUAACUCAUUUUCAUUUGUGCUUAUAGCUUAACAUAUGGGUCACAGCAUUGGUCCUGGCAUGCUGCAGUCAAAGACGGAGAGCUCUCAUUAUAUAGGCUGUAAGCUUUGGCUCAUUUAUCUUCAGAAUUUAUGGUCAGAAACAAAGAACCCUUGGCUUUCUUUAUUGAUGAUGUCAGACAUGCAAGCAUCUGAUUCUCAGUAUCUCUGCUCUCCUCCACAACGCCUUGCUCCUGAGUGUGAUACCAAGCUAGGCUCGGCACUGAGAAGAUGCCCAGUAACCACAGGAGACCUGCCUCUGAUGCUGAUGCCGGUGCCAAUGCCAGUGCCGAUGCUGAGAAUGACAAAAGUGGCACAUGGACAGCUCUCUCCUUACUCAUCCUCACCAAGUACAGCAUAGGGAUUAGUUUUAUGGUUCCUCCACUGCUGCACCAGCUCCAGUGGAGCCUGACUGACAUGAAACAAUCGUGGUCCGCAGGCCAGAGACAUCUGUUCCUCAAAACUUGGUCUCCUGGAAACACUUGGCCACUUCCUGCUGGACUUUCUGCCUAGCUGAUUGGAAUAGGUAUGAUCGGGAGUUACAUAUUUGCUCUUUUGUUUCUUUCUCUACUAACAGGAACAUGGAGACCUGAUUUGGUCUUUAUGGACCAUGCCUCUUUUGAAAGCACUAGCAAAAAUUAAGUAGAAUCAGAGUUGUGAUCAAUAACUUACAACAGGAAGAAUUAACUGUGGAAAAUCCAGACCUCCUAGAUAGUGAAAGAAUUAAGGUGCUAGCUAUUAGAGGGGAAAGUCCCAUCAAUUAUAAAAAAUCCAAACAUUUAGGAAUUCCUAUCAAGUAGUUACAUGGAAGAAAACAUUAUAUAAUUAGAGGAAGGUGGUGGGCCCCUCCUUUAGGUAAAAACAGCCUGAGU